rnacentral:rRNA from 1 species
AAUACGGAGGGUGCGAGCGUUAAUCGGAAUAACUGGGCGUAAAGGGCACGCAGGCGGUGACUUAAGUGAGGUGUGAAAGCCCCGGGCUUAACCUGGGAAUUGCAUUUCAUACUGGGUCGCUAGAGUACUUUAGGGAGGGGUAGAAUUCCACGUGUAGCGGUGAAAUGCGUAGAGAUGUGGAGGAAUACCGAAGGCGAAGGCAGCCCCUUGGGAAUGUACUGACGCUCAUGUGCGAAAGCGUGGGGAGCAAACAGGAUUAGAUACCCUGGUAGUCCACGCUGUAAACGAUGUCGAUUUGGGGGUUGAGCUUUGAGCUUGGCGCCCGUAGCUAACGUGAUAAAUCGACCGCCUGGGGAGUACGGCCGCAAGGUUAAAACUCAAAUGAAUUGACGGGGGCCCGCACAAGCGGUGGAGCAUGUGGUUUAAUUCGAUGCAACGCGAAGAACCUUACCUACUCUUGACAUCCAGAGAACAUUC